CCUACGGGAGGCAGCAGUGAGGAAUAUUGGUCAAUGGGCGCAAGCCUGAACCAGCCACGCCGCGUGAGGGAAGACGGCUUUCGGGUUUUUAACUUCUUUUAGGAGGGGAGCACAGAAGGCGAUGCCUCUUGAAUCAGCCGCGGCUAACUACGUGCCAACAGCCGCCGUAAUGCGUAGGUGGCAAGCGGUUUCCGGAUUUACUGGGUGUAACGGGCGUGCAGGCGGGAAGACAAGUCAGAUGUGAAAUCCCACGGCUCAACCGCGGAGCUGCAUUUGAAACUGGUUUUCUUGAGUACCUGAGAGGUAAGCGGAAUGCUUGGUGUAGCGGUGAAAUGCGUAGAUAUAAGGAAGAACACCAGUGGCGAAGGCGGAUGACUGGCCGGCAACUGACGGUGAGGCGCGAAAGCGUGGGUAGCAAACAGGAUUAGAUACCCCAGUAGUC
rnacentral:rRNA from 1 species